rnacentral:rRNA from 1 species
GACAGAGGCCCCAAGCGUUAGGCGGAAUCACUGGGCUUAAAGCGUGUGUAGGCGGACGCCUAAGUGUCUUGUGAAAUCCCACGGCUCACCCGUGGAACUGCUGGGCAUACUGGGCGUCUUGGGCCAACUAGGGGCAGCCGGAACAAGCGGUGGAGCGGUGAAAUGCGUAGAGAUCGGCAGGAACACCCAGGGGGAAACCAGUGGACUGGGCAUGUGCUGACGCUCAGGUGCGAAAGCGUGGGGAGCGAACCGG